rnacentral:rRNA from 1 species
UCUCCUACGGUAGCCAAAUGUCUCGCCAUCUAAUUACUGACGCACAGGAAUGGACCAAC